ACGGAAGGCAGCAGUGAGGAAUAUUGGUCAAUGGUCGGAAGACUGAACCAGCCAAGUCGCGUGCAGGAAGACGGUCCUAUGGAUUGUAAACUGCUUUUGUACGGGAAUAAAGUGCGGGACGUGUCCCGUUUGGAAUGUACCGUAAGAAUAAGGGUCGGCUAACUCCGUGCCAGCAGCCGCGGUAAUACGGAGGACCCGAGCGUUAUCCGGAUUUAUUGGGUUUAAAGGGUGCGCAGGCGGAGGAUUAAGUCAGCGGUGAAAUUUUCAUGCUCAACAUGAAAACUGCCAUUGAUACUGGUCCCCUUGAGAGAUGUCGAGGAUGGCGGAAUGUGAUGUGUAGCGGUGAAAUGCUUAGAUACGCUGCAGAACUCCGAUUGCGAAGGCAGCUGUCCAGAGAUGCAAUGACGCUCAGGCACGAAAGCAUGGGGAUCGAACAGGAUUAGAUACCCUGGUA
rnacentral:rRNA from 1 species